ACUGUAAUGUGGUGUUAUAAUGAAAAAGGUACUGUAAAACUCUCCAUUGAUUUUAAUAGAAAUUAUUAUGUUUUAUGAGAAAAUAUUGUAAUAUGAGCACUAUUUCAAUAGGUAGAAAAUGAACACGUGAAACAAUUUGCUCAAUAGCAAAAUGCAACAAAUCUGGAUUGAUGUUUUGUAUAUAAUGCUCUAUGCUGUCUUUUAAGAUUGGCAAAUCAAGAAUAUUGCAGAGACUGUACUUUUGUAAGUAUCUGCAAUGGGUUAUGUCAGAUGGACUGAGUUGUUAACUUGUAAUAAUGUCGCAGGCUGAAAUCGUAUAAGGUCAUGUGAGUUAGUAGCACAGGGAUCCAGGAAUGAAUGAUUGACUUUUAAUAUCAUAUUGAAAGCAAUUUAUUUACAGCGGUCUAGCAAUUUACAAGAAUAUAAGAAUUUACAAAAGGAUUAUACUUAACUCUAUCUAAACCUAAACUUAAUCUAUACAAUACAGUGAGAAAGUACAAUAUUCAAGGUUUGAGAUUUGAGAGAAUGUUUGUGUCGAGCCUUCCACAUAUCUGGAAGUCAUUUGCCGGAGUAACAUCAAUUAUCUGAGUCUAAUUAAAAUUCAAAAGUUCAUAAAUGUUCAUUCAUACAGCAUCACACUUCGUCGCUAUCCUCCAUUCAUCAUACCACAUUUCGUCACCUAUCAUCUCUGCCAGCCAUCGUCAUCACUGCCUCUCUGUUGGCCUUGCUGAUGAGACGAGUUGUUCUCCGUUGAUUGGCUUACAUCAAGGGUGUCAAACUCAAAUGCUAACAUGGGCCAAAAUAAAAAGGUUUGAGUUUAGGUGGGCCGCAAAAAAAC
rnacentral:lncRNA from 1 species